CCUACGGGGGGCAGCAGUGGGGAAUAUUGCACAAUGGGCGCAAGCCUGAUGCAGCCAUGCCGCGUGUGUGAAGAAGGCCUUCGGGUUGUAAAGCACUUUCAGUCGUGAGGAAGGUAGUGUAGUUAAUAGCUGCAUUAUUUGACGUUAGCGACAGAAGAAGCACCGGCUAACUCCGUGCCAGCAGCCGCGGUAAUACGGAGGGUGCGAGCGUUAAUCGGAAUUACUGGGCGUAAAGCGCAUGCAGGUGGUUUGUUAAGUCAGAUGUGAAAGCCCGGGGCUCAACCUCGGAAUUGCAUUUGAAACUGGCAGACUAGAGUACUGUAGAGGGGGGUAGAAUUUCAGGUGUAGCGGUGAAAUGCGUAGAGAUCUGAAGGAAUACCGGUGGCGAAGGCGGCCCCCUGGACAGAUACUGACACUCAGAUGCGAAAGCGUGGGGAGCAAACAGGAUUAGAUACCCCAGUAGUC
rnacentral:rRNA from 1 species